CCUUGAUGGCGAAAUCGGGCCGUGGCUCUGCUUCGAUGCGCUACGGUCGAAAGGAUAAUGCACAGACAAAAGAGAGUAGAGCGACGCAGCUGCGCACCGAGGAGCAGCAGCACCGGUAGUAGUGCCGACUUUAGCAGCAUGUUUGCGGCGCAACAAUCACGCAAACGGACGUGAAAUUGCGCAAAGUUUGAUGAUGGCUCGAGAAAAGACUCGUUCCUGCGGGUUUCCGUGUGCUGUGAAACGCGCUAACGGUGCUGACGAAUCAACUGUAGUGAUAACGGCGUAUCCACAAGUGUUUCCAACUUGUGCCAGACGCGCACACCGCAUACGGGCGCAGAGGUGUGGUAGCGUUUUGGUGGUGAAUUCGCUGCAAGAAAAAAGGUAUGCUGUUUUCUUUCACUCGAUUUGUACAGUUAGCACCGUGCAGCUGACCAAACUCAUCACCACGCGUGUAUGUGGUGGAGGCUGCUUCUGCUGCUGCUGCUGGAGGGCGUACGGGUUCUGGGCUCCUUUUUAUUAGUGUCACUCGAGGAGGACACAUGUUGAGUGUGUUACACGAUGGAGAGCAGCCAAUACAUGAGGGUUAAACAAUUUUGUGUCUACUGCUGUUAUGACGGCUUUGAAGGAUAUAUCAUGAUUUUCUUA